UGCAAGUCGAACGAUGAUCCCAGCUUGCUGGGGGAUUAGUGGCGAACGGGUGAGUAACACGUGAGUAACCUGCCCUUAACUCUGGGAUAAGCCUGGGAAACUGGGUCUAAUACCGGAUAUGACUCCUCAUCGCAUGGUGGGGGGUGGAAAGCUUUUUGUGGUUUUGGAUGGACUCGCGGCCUAUCAGCUUGUUGGUGAGGUAAUGGCUCACCAAGGCGACGACGGGUAGCCGGCCUGAGAGGGUGACCGGCCACACUGGGACUGAGACACGGCCCAGACUCCUACGGGAGGCAGCAGUGGGGAAUAUUGCACAAUGGGCGAAAGCCUGAUGCAGCGACGCCGCGUGAGGGAUGACGGCCUUCGGGUUGUAAACCUCUUUCAGUAGGGAAGAAGCGAAAGUGACGGUACCUGCAGAAGAAGCGCCGGCUAACUACGUGCCAGCAGCCGCGGUAAUACGUAGGGCGCAAGCGUUAUCCGGAAUUAUUGGGCGUAAAGAGCUCGUAGGCGGUUUGUCGCGUCUGCCGUGAAAGUCCGGGGCUCAACUCCGGAUCUGCGGUGGGUACGGGCAGACUAGAGUGAUGUAGGGGAGACUGGAAUUCCUGGUGUAGCGGUGAAAUGCGCAGAUAUCAGGAGGAACACCGAUGGCGAAGGCAGGUCUCUGGGCAUUAACUGACGCUGAGGAGCGAAAGCAUGGGGAGCGAACAGGAUUAGAUACCCUGGUAGUCCAUGCCGUAAACGUUGGGCACUAGGUGUGGGGGACAUUCCACGUUUUCCGCGCCGUAGCUUACGCAUUAAGUGCCCCGCCUGGGGAGUACGGCCGCAAGGCUAAAACUCAAAGGAAUUGACGGGGGCCCGCCAAGCGGCGGAGCAGGCGGAUUAAUUCGAU
rnacentral:rRNA from 1 species